GUACUUACCUGGCAGGGGAGAUACCAUGAUCACAAAGGUGGUUUUCCCAGGGUGAGGCUUAUCCAUUGCACUCUGGAUGUGCUGACCCCAGCGAUUUCCCCAAAUGCGUGAAACUCAACUGCAUAAUUUGUGGUAGUGGGGAAAAAUAAAAAAAUAAAAUAAAAUGCAUACUCCUCA
ensembl:snRNA Gm22866 predicted gene, 22866